CAGAGAAUAGUUUAAUUAAAACGUUAGUUUUGGAGACUAAUAAUGGGAAGUCUCUUCUCUGA
rnacentral:tRNA from 1 species